rnacentral:snoRNA from 1 species
AUGUCUAGAUUGAGACAUUUUCUGGAGUAUUCUUUGAAUCUCUCCCAUGCUUCUGGAUAGCUCUCGAGAUCAUUUUAAUUGAAUGUAUAGAUUUCAUUUUUGAUCUU